AGCGAACGCUGGCGGCAGGCUUAACGCAUGCAAGUCGAACGCAUCCUUCGGGAUGAGUGGCAGACAGGUGAGUAACGCGUGGGAACGUGCCCUCCGGUUCGGGAUAACCCAGGGAAACUUGGGCUAAUACCGGAUACGUGCUUAUGGCAGAAAGGUUUACUGCCGGAGGAUCGGCCCGCGUCUGAUUAGCUAGUUGGUGGGGUAACGGCCUACCAAGGCUGCGAUCAGUAGCUGGUCUGAGAGGAUGAUCAGCCACACUGGGACUGAGACACGGCCCAGACUCCUACGGGAGGCAGCAGUGGGGAAUAUUGGACAAUGGGCGCAAGCCUGAUCCAGCCAUGCCGCGUGAGUGAUGAAGGCCUUAGGGUUGUAAAGCUCUUUUACCCGGGACGACAAUGACGGUACCGGGAGAAUAAGCCCCGGCUAACUUCGUGCCAGCAGCCGCCGUAA
rnacentral:rRNA from 1 species